AAAAGUCGUAACAAGGCAUCCNAAGAAGCGCCGGCGCAAGGAUCAUUAUCGAANNNNNNNNNNNNNNNNNNNUCGCUGACUUUUGUCGUGACGCGCGNAGCGCUCUCACACAUCCAUCUCACCCCUAUGUGCACCACCGCGUGGGUCUCCUUUUCGGCUUGUUCCGAGGGGGGGCUCGCGUUUUCACACAAACUUGAUGCAGUGUAGAAUGUCUUUACUUUGCGAUCACACGCAGUCAAUUACAACUUUCAACAACGGAUCUCUUGGCUCUCGCAUCGAUGAAGAACGCAGCGAAAUGCGAUACGUAAUGUGAAUUGCAGAAUUCAGUGAAUCAUCGAAUCUUUGAACGCACCUUGCGCCCCUUGGCAUUCCGAGGGGCACACCCGUUUGAGUGUCGUGAAAUUCUCAAAACCUUUCUUUGGUCUUUCGAUCGGAGAAGGAUUUUGGACUUGGAGGCCUUUUUGCUGGUUUCACCUCGAGGCCGGCUCCUCCUAAAUGGAUUAGUGGGGUCUGCUUUGCCGAUCCUUGACGUGAUAAGAUGUUUCUACGUCUUGGAUUUGGCACUGUCUCUCGGACACCUGCUUCUAACCGUCUCAUCGACGGCGGUGGCGUUCCGGUCACCACCGUUUCAUCGGUGGGAGGCUUGACCCACGGAAAANCUUUGNCCUUAAUCGGGUGGGGCUACCCGUGAACU
rnacentral:rRNA from 1 species